AUUGAACGCUAGCGGGAUGCUUUACACAUGCAAGUCGAACGGCAGCGCGGACUUCGGUCUGGCGGCGAGUGGCGAACGGGUGAGUAAUGUAUCGGAACGUGCCCAGUAGCGGGGGAUAACUACGCGAAAGCGUAGCUAAUACCGCAUACGCCCUACGGGGGAAAGCAGGGGAUCGUAAGACCUUGCACUAUUGGAGCGGCCGAUAUCGGAUUAGCUAGUUGGCGAGGUAACGGCUCACCAAGGCGACGAUCCGUAGCUGGUUUGAGAGGACGACCAGCCACACUGGGACUGAGACACGGCCCAGACUCCUACGGGAGGCAGCAGUGGGGAAUUUUGGACAAUGGGGGCAACCCUGAUCCAGCCAUCCCGCGUGUGCGAUAAAGGCCUUCGGGUUGUAAAGCACUUUUGGCAGGAAAGAAACGUCGCGGGCUAAUACCCCGUGGAACUGACGGUACCUGCAGAAUAAGCACCGGCUAACUACGUG
rnacentral:rRNA from 1 species